GAUGAACGCUGGCGGCGUGCCUAAUACAUGCAAGUCGAGCGGACAGGUGAUGAUCUUGGGCCACUGACGUGAGCGACGGACGGGUGAGUAACAGGUGGAUAACCUACCUAUAAGACUGAGAUAACUGCGGGAAAGCGGAGCUAAUACCAGAAAAUAUAUUGAACGGGAUGGUUGGAUAGUGAAAGACGGGUUUGCUGAGACUGAUGGAUGUAUGCUCGCUGGAUGAGCUAGUGGGUAAGGUAACGGCUGACCAAGGCAUCGAUGCGUAGCCGACCUGCGAGGGUGAGCCGCCCUACUAGAACUGACAGCCGCACCAGACCUCUGCGGCAGGCAGCAGUCGGGCGUCUUGCAGCAUGGUCGAAUGCUUGACGGUGCGCGGCCGCGUGAUGGAUGAAGGCCUCGGGAUCGUAAAACGCUGUUAUGAGGGAAGAACCUUUGUCUAAGUAAGUAUGCUCGUUUUGACGGUACCUAAAUAGAAAGCCCCGGCUAACUACGUG
rnacentral:rRNA from 1 species